GACGAACGCUGGCGGCGUGCUUAACACAUGCAAGUCGAAGAUUAUGGCGAACGGGCGAGUAAUACGUGGGUAACCUGCCCUCCUUUUUGGGAUAAGCCUUGGAAACGGGGUCUAAUACUGGAUGGAUUGGGAUGGGCACGCGGCUUAUGAGCUUGUUGGUGGGGUGAGGGCUUAACAAGGCUUUGAAGGGUAGCCGGCCUGAGGGGGGGUUCGGUCUCACUGGGACGGGGAUACGGCCAAGAGUCCUACGGGAGGCAGCAGUGGGGGAUAUUGCACAAUGGAGGAAAGUCGGAUGCAGCGGCGUCGUGUGGGGGAUGAAGGCCUUCGGGUUGUAAACCUCUUUCGCUAUCGAACGGGUAGGUGGAGAAGAAGCGCCGGCUAACUACGUGCCAGCCGCCGCGGUAAUUC
rnacentral:rRNA from 1 species